GAUGAACGCUGGCGGCGUGCCUAAUACAUGCAAGUCGAGCGGACGGACGAGAAGCUUGCUGCUCUGAUGUUAGCGGCGGACGGGUGAGUAACACGUGUAUAACCUACCUAUAAGACUGGGAUAACUUCGGGACACCGGAGCUAAUACCGGAUGAUAUUUUGCACCGCAUGGUUCGAAAGUGAAAGACGGUCUUGCUGUCUCGUCUCGAUGGAUCCGCGCUGCAUUAGCUGGUUGGUAGGGUAACGGGUUAUCAAGGCAACGAGGCAUGGGCGACCUGCGAGGGUGGUCGGCCACCUUGGAACUGAGCCACGGUCCAGACUCCUACGGGAGGCAGCAGUAGGGAAUCUUCCGCAAUGGGCGGAAGCCUGACGGAGCAACGCCGCGCGAGUGAUGACGGUCUUCGGAUCGUAAAACUCUGUUAUGAGGUAAGAACAGAUGUGUAAUUAACUGUGCACAGCGUGACGGUACCUAGUCAGAAAGCCACGGCUAACUACGUG
rnacentral:rRNA from 1 species